CAUCAGAUGACUGAAAGCAAGUAAUGGUCUCUUAAACCACUUAAUGGUAAUAUAGCACAUAUCUCUGAUG
rnacentral:tRNA from 1 species